CACGGGGGGUGCAAGCGUUAUUCGGAAUUAUUGGGCGUAAAGGGCGCGCAGGCGGAAAUGCAGGUCAGAUGUGAAAUCCCGGGGCUCACCCCCGGAAGUGCAUUUGAAACCGUGUUUCUUGAAUAUGGUAGAGGGUAGUGGAAUUCCUGGUGUAGAGGUGAAAUUCGUAGAUAUCAGGAGGAACACCGGUGGCGAAGGCGACUACCUGGACCAAUAUUGACGCUGAGGCGCGAAGGCGUGGGGAGCAAACAGG
rnacentral:rRNA from 1 species